AGAGUUGCCUAGAGACACAUGCACACUCAACACGAUAAAAUGAAUCUCAUUUCUCUCCUGAUGGUGAUGGUGAUGGCUGUAGCGGCAGUUCUGGCCAAUCCUGUUCCGGGAUAUCCAGUCUAUAACAACUAUAAUUAUGGUUACGGUUAUCCCCAAUACGCCGUUGCUUCUACUUACAUCCCUAAAACGAUCCACAUAACCCGCCAACACUUUUCUCUUCCUUACGGAUAUUACAAUAACUUGUGGUAAUAAUGUACUCCUGAGUGAAGGACGACAUCACAAUGUGCCCCAGCGACCUAAAAACUAUUUUCUUUUAACAUUUCAGAAUCAGGUUCUUACUGCACCUUACUACUCUACUAUUUGUAAUCUAUUUAUCGUAUAUACCAAUAUUUUUCAACUGAAAUUAAAUCUUCAGAAAUAAUUACGUUA